rnacentral:rRNA from 2 species
GUCCCAAGGGUUCGGCUGUUCGCCGAUUAAAGUGGUACGUGAGCUGGGUUUAGAACGUCGUGAGACAGUUCGGUCCCUAUCUGCCGUGGGUGUUGGAGAAUUGAGAGGAGCUGCUCCUAGUACGAGAGGACCGGAGUGGACGUACCUAUGGUGGACCUGUUGUCGCGCCAGCGGCAUAGCAGGGUAGCUAAGUACGGAACGGAUAACCGCUGAAAGCAUCUAAGCGGGAAGCCUCCCUCGAAACUAAUUCUCCCAUGAGAGCUGUGGAAGACUACCACUUCGAUAGGCUGGGUGUGGAAGUAUAGCAAUAUAUGAAGCUUACCAGUACUAAUCGCUCGAUUGGCUUGAUUACACUCAUUAU